rnacentral:rRNA from 1 species
AUUGAACGCUGGCGGAAUGCUUUACACAUGCAAGUCGAGCGGCAGCGCGGGGGCAACCCUGGCGGCGAGCGGCGAACGGGUGAGUAAUACAUCGGAACGUGUCCUUAAGUGGGGGAUAGCUCGGCGAAAGCCGGAUUAAUACCGCAUAAGCUCUGAGGAGGAAAGGCGGGGGCUCCGUAAAGGACCUCGCGCUGUUGGAGCGGCCGAUGUCGGAUUAGCUAGUUGGUGGGGUAAAGGCCCACCAAGGCGACGAUCCGUAGCUGGUCUGAGAGGAUGAUCAGCCACACUGGAACUGAGACACGGUCCAGACUCCUACGGGAGGCAGCAAGU